AACGUAGGAGGCGAGCGUUAUCCGGAUUUACUGGGUGUAAAGCGCGUGCAGGCGGUGGGACAAGUUAACUGUGAAAGCGCCCGGCUCAACCGGGCGAGGACAGUUAAGACUGUUCGACUGGAGGCAGGUAGAGGUGUGUGGAAUUCCGGGUGUAGUGGUGAAAUGCGUAGAGAUCCGGAGGAACACCAGUGGCGAAGGCGACACACUGGGCCUGGCCUGACGCUCAGACGCGAAAGCAUGGGGAGCGAACGGG
rnacentral:rRNA from 2 species